ACUAUUCCUAGCCCAAACCUCCAUUCUCAAUUAAAUAACCAAAAACAAAAUAAAACAAAACAUUUACCCUAACUUAAAGUAUAGGAGAUAGAAAUUCUAAAUAUGGCGCUAUAGAGAAAGUACCGCAAGGGAACGAUGAAAGAAUAAAAUUAAAGUAUAAAAAAGCAAAGAUUACCCCUUGUACCUUUUGCAUAAUGAGUUAACUAGCAAAAAACUUAACAAAACGAAUUUUAGCUAAGUAACCCGAAACCAGACGAGCUACUUAUGGACAGUUAAUUAAGAACCAACUCAUCUAUGUGGCAAAAUAGUGAGAAGAUCUACAAGUAGAGGUGACACGCCUAACGAGCCUGGUGAUAGCUGGUUGUCCAGAAAAUGAAUCUUAGUUCAGCUUUAAAGAUGCCAAAAAUCCACACAAACCUCACUGUAUCUUUAAAAGUUAGUCUAAAAAGGUACAGCCUUUUAGAAACGGAUACAACCUUGACUAGAGAGUAAGAUCCAAUAACACCAUAGUAGGCCUAAAAGCAGCCACCAAUUAAGAAAGCGUUAAAGCUCAACAAUUUCAAACAAUAUUAAUCCCAACAACAAACAACUAACUCCUAGCUUCAAUACUGGACCACUCUAUUAUUAAAUAGAAGUAAUAAUGUUGACAUGAGUAACAAGAAAUACUUUCUCCUUGCACAAGCCUAAGUCAGUAUCUGAUAAUAUCCUGACCAUUAACAGCAAAUAAAAACAACCCAACAAUAAACAAUUUACUAAUUACACUGUUAACCCAACACAGGAGUGCACUUAAGGAAAGAUUAAAAGAAGUAAAAGGAACUCGGCAAACACAAACCCCGCCUGUUUACCAAAAACAUCACCUCCAGCAUCCCUAGUAUUGGAGGCACUGCCUGCCCAGUGACUAAACGUUAAACGGCCGCGGUAUCCUGACCGUGCAAAGGUAGCAUAAUCAUUUGUUCUCUAAAUAAGGACUUGUAUGAAUGGCCACACGAGGGUUUUACUGUCUCUUACUUCCAAUCAGUGAAAUUGACCUUCCCGUGAAGAGGCGGGAAUAAACAAAUAAGACGAGAAGACCCUAUGGAGCUUUAACUAAUUAGUCCAAAGGAAACAAACUUAAUCACCAAGGGACAACAACACCCUCUAUGGACUAACAGCUUUGGUUGGGGUGACCUCGGAGAACAAAAAAUCCUCCGAGCGAUUUUAAAGACUAGACCCACAAGUCGAAUCAAACUUAUCGCUCAUUGAUCCAAAAAAUUGAUCAACGGAACAAGUUACCCUAGGGAUAACAGCGCAAUCCUAUUCAAGAGUCCAUAUCGACAAUAGGGUUUACGACCUCGAUGUUGGAUCAGGACACCCCGAUGGUGCAGCCGCUAUCAAAGGUUCGUUUGUUCAACGAUUAAAGUCCUACGUGAUCUGAGUUCAGACCGGAGUAAUCCAGGUCGGUUUCUAUCUAUUACGAAUUUCUCCCAGUACGAAAGGACAAGAGAAAUAAGGCCCACUUCAAACAAGCGCCUUAAAUUAAUUAAUGAUAUCAUCUCAAUUAAACUCACAAACAAAACCCGCCCUAGAAAAGGGCAUA
rnacentral:rRNA from 1 species